rnacentral:rRNA from 1 species
UACGGAGGGUGCAAGCGUUGUCCGGAAUCACUGGGCGUAAAGGGCGCGUAGGCGGCCUGGUAAGUAGGGGGUGAAAUCCUGCGGCUUAACCGCAGGGCUGCCUUCUAAACUGUCAGGCUUGAGCACGGUAGAGGCAGAUGGAAUUCCCGGUGUAGCGGUGAAAUGCGCAGAUAUCGGGAGGAACACCUAUGGCGAAGGCAGCUCGCUGGGACGUUACUGACGCUGAGACGCGAAAGCGUGGGGAGCAAACAGG